UGCUGGAGGUAUCAGAAGUGCGAAUGCUGACAUAAGUAACGAUAAAGCGGGUGAAAAGCCCGCUCGCCGGAAGACCAAGGGUUCCUGUCCAACGUUAAUCGGGGCAGGUGAGUCGACCCCUAAGGCGAGGCCGAAAGGCGUAGUCGAUGGGAAACAGGUUAAUAUUCCUGUACUUGGUGUUACUGGCGAAGGGGGGACGGAGAAGGCUAUGUUAGCCGGGCGACGGUUGUCCCGGUUUAAGCAUGUAGGCUGAUU
rnacentral:rRNA from 1 species